GACGGGGGAUGCAAGUGUUAUCCGGAAUCACUGGGCGUAAAGCGUCUGCAGGUGGUUUCCUAAGUCCACUGUUAAACCUUGAGGCUCAACCUCAAAUCUGCAUUGGAAACUAGGAGACUUGAGUAUAGUAGGGGUAGAGGGAAUUUCCAGUGGAGCGGUGAAAUGCGUAGAUAUUGGAAAGAACACCGAUGGCGGAGGCACUCUACUGGGCUAUUACUGACACUCAGAGACGAAAGCUAGGGGAGCAAAUGGG
rnacentral:rRNA from 1 species